rnacentral:rRNA from 1 species
GAUGAACGCUGGCGGCGUGCUUAACACAUGCAAGUCGAACGGUGAACACGGAGCUUGCUCUGUGGGAUCAGUGGCGAACGGGUGAGUAACACGUGAGCAACCUGCCCCUGACUCUGGGAUAAGCGCUGGAAACGGCGUCUAAUACUGGAUAUGUGACGUGACCGCAUGGUCUGCGUUUGGAAAGAUUUUUCGGUUGGGGAUGGGCUCGCGGCCUAUCAGCUUGUUGGUGAGGUAAUGGCUCACCAAGGCGUCGACGGGUAGCCGGCCUGAGAGGGUGACCGGCCACGCUGGGACUGAGACACGGCCCAGACUCCUACGGGAGGCAGCAGUGGGGAAUAUUGCACAAUGGGCGCAAGCCUGAUGCAGCAACGCCGCGUGAGGGAUGACGGCCUUCGGGUUGUAAACCUCUUUUAGCAGGGAAGAAGCGAAAGUGACGGUACCUGCAGAAAAAGCGCCGGCUAACUACGUG